UACGUAGGGUGCGAGCGUUACUCGGAAUUACUGGGCGUAAAGCGUGCGCAGGCGGUUCGUUGUGUCGGUGGUGAAAUCCCCGGGCUUAACCUGGGAAUGGCCAUGGAAACUGGCGAACUGGAGUGCGGCAGAGGGGGGUGGAAUUCCGCGUGUAGCAGUGAAAUGCGUAGAGAUGCGGAGGAACACCGAUGGCGAAGGCAGCCCCCUGGGCUAGCACUGACGCUCAGGCACGAAAGCGUGGGGAGCGAUCCGG
rnacentral:rRNA from 1 species